rnacentral:rRNA from 1 species
AUACGGAGGGUGCAAGCGCUAUUCGGAAUCACUGGGCGUAAAGGACGCGUAGGCGGGUUGGCAAGUCAGAUGUGAAAUCCUACAGCUUAACUGUAGAACUGCAUUUGAAACUGCUAACCUAGAGUAUGGGAGGGGGAGAUGGAAUUAGUGGUGUAGGGGUAAAAUCCGUAGAUAUCACUAGGAAUACCGAAAGCGAAGGCGAUCUCCUGGAACAUAACUGACGCUAAGGCGUGAAAGCGCGGGGAGCAAACAGGAUUAGAAACCCUAGUAGUCC